rnacentral:rRNA from 1 species
UACGGAGGGGGCUAGCGUUGUUCGGAAUUACUGGGCGUAAAGCGCACGUAGGCGGCUUUGCAAGUUAGAGGUGAAAGCCCGGAGCUUAACUCCGGAAUUGCCUUUAAAACUGCAUCGCUAGAAUUGUGGAGAGGUGAGUGGAAUUCCGAGUGUAGAGGUGAAAUUCGUAGAUAUUGGGAAGAACACCGGUGGCGAAGGCGGCUCACUGGCUCGUAACUGACGCUCAUGCACGACAGCGUGGGGAUCAAACAGG